CAGAGCUUAGUAUAAUUAUUAUCUUAGCUUUGGGAGUUAAGGAUCCCCCUAUGGGGCGCUCUGA
rnacentral:tRNA from 1 species